rnacentral:ncRNA from 1 species
AAAAAAAAAAAAUUCUAUGUAGAAAAAUAAACGAUUAAAUAAAUUUUUUAUGGUUUAAAAAAUUUAUUUAAAGUUUAUUUUACAUAUAAAUUUUAGUGUUAAUUAUUAAUUAUUUAGAUAAUAAAAUAAUAUUUUGUAGUAAUUAAUUUUAAAAAUUUAAGAAAUUAAGAUUUAGUAAUACAUUAAUAAUUAAUAACUAAUUUUGUGCCAGCAGUUGCGGUUAUACAAAAAUUAAUUUAAAUUUUUUUAGUAAUUAAUAAAUAAAUUAAAUUUAAUAAUUUAAAUUUUAUAUUAUAAAGUGAAAUUUUAAUAUAAUAAAAAAUUAUUUUAUAAUUAUGAUUUAAUAAAUUUUAUAAAAAACUAGGAUUAGAUACCCUAUUAUUAAAAAUUUAAAUUAAUAAUACUUAAAUAGUAGGUAAAUAUUUAUUGAAACUUAAAUAAUUUGGCGGUAUUUUAGUUUAUUUAGAGGAAUCUGUUUAAUAAUUGAUAAUCCACGAAUAAAUUUACUUAAUUUAAUAUUUUGUAUAUCGUUGUUAAAAAAAUAUUUUUUAAUAAGAAUAAUAUUUUAAAAUUUAAAUUUAAAAUUAAAUCAGAUCAAGAUGCAGAUUAUAAUUAAGAAUAUAAUGGAUUACAAAAAAUUUAUUUUUGAAUUUUAAUAUGAAAGUGGUUAAAUGAAAUUGGAUUUAAAUGUAAUUUUAUUUAAAUUAAUAAAAUGAUUUAAUAAUUAGAAUAUGUACAUAUUGCCCGUCGCUUUCAUUUAUAAAUUGAAAUAAGUCGUAACAAAGUAGGGGUACUGGAAAGUGUUUCUAGAAAGAU